rfam:Alligator mississippiensis ScZkoYb_1430, whole genome shotgun sequence.
CCGGGUCCUGAUUGUCCAAACGCAAUUCUUGUGUCUGCCCCAAGAAUUGAGUGUGGACGUCGGGAGCCGC